rnacentral:rRNA from 1 species
UACGGAGGGUGCGAGCGUUGUCCGGAAUCAUUGGGCGUAAAGGGCGCGUAGGUGGCGGGACAAGCGUGCGGUGAAAGCCUGGGGCUCAACCCCGGGUCGGCCGUGCGAACUGUUUUGCUUGAGCACUGUAGAGGCAGGCGGAAUUCCGGGUGUAGCGGUGGAAUGCGUAGAGAUCCGGAAGAACACCGGUGGCGAAGGCGGCCGGCUGGGCAGUAGCUGACACUGAGGCGCGACAGCGUGGGGAGCAAACAGG